rnacentral:rRNA from 1 species
UACGAAGGGGGCUAGCGUUGUUCGGAAUGACUGGGCGUAAAGGGCGCGUAGGCGGCGAUGUAAGUCAGGCGUGAAAGCCCCGGGCUCAACCUGGGAACGGCGCUUGAUACUGCGUUGCUUGAGGACGGGAGAGGAUGGUGGAAUUCCCAGUGUAGAGGUGAAAUUCGUAGAUAUUGGGAGGAACACCGGUGGCGAAGGCGGCCAUCUGGACGGAUACUGACGCUGAGACGCGAAAGCGUGGGGAGCAAACAGG